rnacentral:rRNA from 1 species
CUAGUUGCCAUCAGGUCAAGCUGGGCGACUCUAAGUGGACAGCCGGCGUAAGCCGGAGGAAGGUGGGGAUGACGUCAAGUCAUCAUGGCCUUUAUGUCCAGGGCUACACACGUGCUACAAUGGCGCAUACAGAGGGCAGCGAAGCCGUGAGGUGGAGCGAAUCUUGUCAAAGUGCGCCUCAAUUCGGAUUGCAGUCUGCAACUCGACUGCAUGAAGUUGGAACCGCUAGUAAUCGCGGAUCAGCAAAGCCGCGGUGAAUACGUUCCCGGGCCUU